rnacentral:rRNA from 1 species
UGGGGAAUAUUGCACAAUGGGCGAAAGCCUGAUGCAGCGACGCCGCGUGAGGGAUGACGGCCUUCGGGUUGUAAACCUCUUUCAGCAGGGACGAAGCGCAAGUGACGGUACCUGCAGAAGAAGCACCGGCUAACUACGUGCCAGCAGCCGCGGUAAUACGUCGGGUGCAAGCGUUGUCCGGAAUUACUGGGCGUAAAGAGUUCGUAGGCGGUUUGUCGCGUCGUUUGUGAAAACCAGCAGCUCAACUGCUGGCUUGCAGGCGAUACGGGCAGACUUGAGUACUGCAGGGGAGACUGGAAUUCCUGGUGUAGCGGUGAAAUGCGCAGAUAUCAGGAGGAACACCGGUGGCGAAGGCGGGUCUCUGGGCAGUAACUGACGCUGAGGAACGAAAGCGUGGGUAGCGAACAGG